GUGCAGGAUAAGUUACAACAUGGCUGUGUGGUGCUGUGCUGUCGUUCCCCCUGCCAACAGCAACUCGCUUCCUACUAUCCCUGUCGGCCUCGCUGUCACGGCCGCCAGGGACGCUUGGUCACGUACAC
ensembl:snoRNA SNORA63 Small nucleolar RNA SNORA63